rnacentral:lncRNA from 1 species
AGAAGCACACUGAAACCUAUCCAAAAGCAUCCCAGGAGGGCACACUGAGUGCCGCAUGGAGCCUGCACCACCAUGGGGAGGAAGCAGCCACCGCCUUCCUGAAUCCCCACCAGGCAGAAACAUCUCUCCCGUCUUUGAACUUCACCACGCCGUGCAUCUUCCUCUGGGUGUGCAAUCGUCACCUGCGUACAUGAUUGAUUCUGCCCCCAACACUAGACUCAGGCAGAAAGAACUCAAAGCUCAGAUGGUCAGGGUCCUGUUGGUUCAUCAAGCUCAGCCUGCCUGGAGGCAGCCACUGUGUUGUUCCCUCUCUUCGUCCUCCCUCUGCACUCUCUCUUGCCACGGGACAUUUGCACAAGCAGUUCCCUCUAACUGGAACACUAAGAAAUAUGGAAGUAAAAGGGGUUGGGAGAAAAGACAGGAGUCACAGGUGACUGUGUGGGAUGAGGAGAGUCGUGAAAACUUUUUUUUUUUUUUUUUGAGAUGGAGUCUCGCUUUGUCACCCAGGCUGGAGUGCCAGUGGUGCCAAUCUCGGCUCACCGCAACUUCCACCUCCCAGGUUCAAGCAGUUCUCCUGCCUCAGCCUCCUGAGUAGCUGGGAUUACAGUUGCCUGCCACCACGCCUGGCUAAUAUUUGUAUUCUUAGUAGAGAAGAGGUUUCACCAUGUUGGCCAGGCUGGUCUCAAACUCCUGACCUCAGGUGAUCCACCUGCCUCAGCCUCCCAAAGUGCUGGGAUUACAGGCAUGAGCCACUGCACCCGGCCGAAAACAUUAAGAGUAGGUGGAUGUUACUUUGGACACCAAAUGAAGAAGUGUGCCGAGCUGAAAGAGAAAAGGAGAAGAAAAUGGACAUGACAUUUACGGGGUUCCUCUUGCAGAGAGAGAACCGUGUAGAAGGUAAGCUCUCACUACUGAGUUCAAGUCCCAGACAUAAUACUUGCUGGCUGUGUGGCCUUGGGAAGGCCCAUGAGCACUCUCAGUGAAAGUGAAACUGGGAAGUUUCUGCUUUGGAGAGAUUUUCUCACAAAUGAGAUGAGUUAUCAUAUACCAAGCCCUUAGAGCACGGCCUGGCUCACAGGAAGCCAACAGUAAGUGUGGGUCAUUAUCAGCGCUGUUGUUAACUGGGGGUAAUAACAGGGGCCAGGGGCCAAGAGGCUUUAUCUAGCCCUAUUUCAGAGGCAAAGAAAUGAGGGUGAAAAAGUUCAGGGGCCUGCCUGCAGUCACACAGCAGAGCCAGAUAUGAACAUCGACGUUUUGGCUUUCAAGGUCCACACCCGCCGUAUCCUACUGCACGGUGCUGGAAGGCACAUGGAAGACUAUUGCAGCCCAAUCUUCUCAUGACAAAGACAGGAAAAUGGAGCCCUCUAAGAGAAAGUGACUGAUCCACCCUUAUGCUCUUAAAUGGUAAGCGUCCAGGGAUCAUCCAAGUUAAGAUGGCCCACACGCAGCUGGCAAGGCAGGACCCGAGGCUGAAUGAGACGUACAAUUGGCUCCACGGUACUGGCAGAACCCACAGCUAGUUUUCAAUGCUGAGAACUGUCCAUCCUGGCAGAGGCUCACUGCCCUCUGUGCCCUCCCUGGUUGCCUGGGCAGAUGGUGAGCUCUGGUUGCCAAGGAGCCCGCGUUGGCAGUUCUGAAAUGGGGUGCGUCAGCAGCCUCGCUCCAGCGGCUUCCCACAUCCUUGAGUAACCACCACACAAAGGUGCUGGGCAUGAGACCAAGGGUGCGGCGGAGAUCGAAUUAGUAAUACACACUCGGUGACCCUCCCCAGCCAGGUUUCACUGCGUGCUUAUGACCAACAUUCAUCCCUUCCUUAGCAUCUGUGGUGUCUUUAAGGGCCAAGUAAAAAGGUAAAACUGCAGGGAGUCAGGAGGGGGAAACUGGCCUGGGGUACAGAGUCCCUCACAAUGAAAAUAUAUGUAACUGGCUACUUGUAGGUCAUGAUGCAUUAAGUGAUCCUGUCAAAAGUUGAAAGUGGGCUACAGUGGGACAGGCAAUGCCCAGAGGGAGGCAGAAAGGUGUAAAUAAUCCGAGGUGAAUGUGGGUCUUGUUGGCAUGGUAGAUUUAUGCCCUGCCUUCAUAAUGUACCCUUUCAUCUUGGGAGCCUGGAUUCCAAAAAUCUAGUCUAGACAGGAAUUGAUGGUGCUACCUCUCAGCUUACAUCGUUCAAGGUUUCUCAACACCAAAGACUCCUGAAUAUUGAUGGGAACAACCCACUUAGCCAGGGGAUAUUGCUCAGAACUCAGGAGGCCAAAGGCAUCAUUCUUCCAGGCACGGAGGCCCUGCUCAGAAACAGCCCUACAGAGGCAGAGUCACUCAUUCUGGGGGAUGACGCUGCCUUUUGUCUUCAUCUCCCCAAGUGGGAGACAAGUCCCAUCACGCCUGCCACCUGGCAGUCAGCCUUGCGCCUUCUCUUUCGUCCUUUUCAUGUGUGCUCCGUGCCGGUUUCAGCAGCUUUCAUCAGAGACUGAAACUACCACCACUCCCAUCACCUCCCAGGGCCAUGGGCAGGCCCUGGCUGACAGAUCCAGGCCUAGGAGCCUGGGCAACGAUAAAUAGGUGGUUGGGAGGACCUCUCCGAGCCCCCUUCUCUGCCCAGGCAGGCUUUCUCCUUGGGUGGCCAGAGCCAGGGCCCAGGAUCCCCUGCUGCAAGAACUGAGAGGCUGAGGGGCUUCACUCCUGAGGAAGGUCCUCUCUUCCUAAUCCCCGUGCUUUGGGCCCAGCAAAUUCAGCCUGGGAACUGGGGGCUGCUGUGGAAGAGAGAUGGAGCUAGGGAGCAUUUAUAGUGCAGCACCUGAGGCUGAGCAGUGACAGAGCUGCGGGCCUGAGAAUUACAAAACAGACUUAAACAGAUGAAAUAUUGCCCAGGCAUGGUGGCUCUUGCCUGUAAUCCUAGCACUUUGGGAGGCCGAGGCAGGCGGAUCACUUGAGGUCAGGAGUUUGAGACCAGCCUGGCCAACAUGGUGAAACCCCAUCUCUACUAAAUAUUAGCUGGGUGUGGUGGUGGGCACCUGUAAUCCCAGCUACUUGGGAGGCUGAGGCAGGAGAAUUGCUUGAACCCGGGUGGCAGAGGUUGCAGUGAUCUGAGAUCGUGCCACUGCACUCCAGCCUGGGUGACAGAGCCAGACUCUGUCUAAAAAAAAAAAAACAAAACAAAACAACAACAACAACAAAAACCCAUGAAAUAUUAACUGAUGCAGGGAAAACAGACAAAAACUAUACAUGCUCAAAACAAAACGAAAAAGGGCACAGGGCUCAGAAACCAGUUUGUCGUCUUUGUGAACAGCUGGGAACUCUGACUCAUGCACUGUCCCCUGUUCUCUAUGCCACAGGAAUGAGGCAGCAAGAGGCCAGAUUCUGCCGGAGACAGAGCAGAGAGCCAAACCAUCGCCACUUAUUGGUGCAUGAACCUGGGCAAGGCAGGGGUAUCCCUGAGCCUCAGCUUCCUUGUUUGCAAAAUGGUGACAUGCCUACUUCCAGAGCUGUUGUUAAGGUUAAAUGAUGACGCAGUUUACCAUAUGCCAGGCACAUAGUAGGCACUAAAUAGUUGCAAUUAUUAGCCCUGAGCAAACAUUGCUCAGCCAUUCCCUUGUAAAGCCUAUUCUCAAACCAACUUUCCAUGUGGACGUUCAAUCAUCUUUCUGGAUGACCUCGCCUUACCCAUUGCCUCAGAUUCUGUGUGUGUGUGUGUAUAGAAGAAACAAAGAAAAAAAGUGCUUUUCACAUAGUGAGGACAUUUCCCCAUCCUAUGAGUCUGUGUAUGUGUGUGCAUAUGUAUAUGUAUGUACACACACACACACACACACACACACACACACACACACACUGCCCCGUGGAAUAGGCAGGACGGGGUUGCAUUUCCCCUCUUUUAAAGGUGAGGAUGCUGAGCCUCAGAAAGAUCAAGUGACCUGAACAAAGUCACACAGCCAAUGUGUUUCUCCAAAAGAAAUGACCAGGAGUCAGUGUUUCUUUAUACAAGGGUGUCCAAUCUUUUGGCUUCUCGGCCACACUGGAAGAAGAAGAAUUGUCUUGGGCCACACAUAAAGUACACUAGCACUAAUGAUAGCUGAUGAGCUAAAAAAAUAAAAAUAAAAAUCACACACAAAAAACAGUGUUUUAAGAAAGUUUACAAAUUUGUAUUGGGCUACAUUCAAAGCCGUCCUGGGCCAUGGGUUGGACAAGCUUGCUCCACCAUAAACACGUGAUGAACAGACAUUGAAAUCGUACCUUUAGGGCUGUUUUAGGAACACAAGAGGCAUCAUCUGGCUAUCUUGAGAAAGCAGAUUUCAAUUUUCUAUUCAUUAAAGAAAUGUGCUUCCAUCUACCUUGAAAUCAUUUUGAUGAUUUCCAGAUUCAAGUCCCUGAAUAAAUUCCAGGGAAAGUCACGUCACGGGACAGAAUGGCCGUCACCUUGAAAAAAAAUUAUUUUCUCCUGGAGGCACUACUGAGGCUCAGCGAUCCCACGUCUGCCACUCCCUCCUACUGCAUGUGGUAUCCCUGAGUCUCCGCUCAGGGAAAACAGACAAAACUACACAUGCUCAAAACAGAACAAAAAUGGGAACAGGGCUCAGAAACCAGUUUGUCUGGUUCCAGUCAUUUCCACCGCAAUGACAGAUCCAGUGACCUUGGCAGCCCUCAUCCAUUCACCACAUCUUCCCAUUACCACCUAACGUGCCCCUCCCAAUAGCUCCGUGUGGUAGAGGCUGCACACAGGCUCAGGAUUCCCACUUCACAGGUGAUAAUGUCAAGGUGCAGUGACAUGCAGCUUCUUGUCCCAGGUCAGGUGUCUCAUGAUUGUUGAGCCACUGUCUUCUGACUCAGCCAGUGAUCUUUCCUUUGGACCACAACCCCUCUGAAAAGCACUGUGCUGAGAAACAUGGGUUUACUUUACCUAUUGCUAUUUUGUACGUUUGAAACGAUCUUUCCAAAACAGAUUUAAUAAUUGAAAGUUUUGCUCUCUGUUCCUUGGAGAAAAGGGACAUGCUUUGAGGAAGGAAUUGGAACCCGAACAGUCAUGUUUUAUAGGCAUUCAUGUUUAUUUCUCUGAUAUUAUGGCUUCCUCUGGAAAAAUCCAACCAACACAUCCGUUUCAAGUCUUGAGAAACUCCCAAAUGUUGACCAUGUGUCUGAUUCCUGUGUGGUCAAAAGAGUGAUGUUUCUUAAUGUCCACAACUUAUUUCCAUGUUAAAAUAAUUCCACGCUCAGCUAAAUCCCACUUACACACAAGUGUGCACCUGUUAAAAUAGGUCAUUUUUCACUGCUAAUCUUCCAGAUUCCAUGAGUAUGUGUGGGAACCCCAGACAAAUGCAACUUGAAUGUCACAAAAGGCAUUUUUCUUUGCUGAGUGACCCUGGUUGGCCCAGACACCCUGGGUGCCUUGCUCCCACAGAUUUGUAAAACUAAGGAAGAUCCCUUUCUGCUGAGAGAAUGGAUUGGAAUUAAAUCUUAGCAUAGAAGGCCUUGGGUGAAACUGUAUGGAAUUUUGUCUUACAACUGGGUUAUUUUUUAAUUAGAUUUUUGUCGAUCUUUUUUCAACUCUGAAGUAUGUCAGUAUGGAAACUCAGUAACUUUUCUCAAUGCUCCCCAUAAAGCUAAAAAUUAAAAAGAAGAGAAGAGAAAUAAAAAGGGAAAAAAUUAAAAUUUCAGAGCAAGAAGCUCUAGCCUCUGAGAUUUUGUUACUGUUGCAAAAGUAAUAGGUCAUCUUUGCCACAACCUCAAUGCUAAAAAGUAGAUGCACAAAAAAGCAAUUUUUAUCCCAAAGUCUUCUUGGCGAUGAGAUUUUUUUUCCUGCUUCAGAUUUGGCAUGCUUCCAGAAACCCAAGGGCCCUAAAUCAAUAUCAAGUGACCGCUUCCAACUCGUAAGAGCCUCUAGGGCUCAUUGCAAAUGUGGGCUCUGGGUUCCAGAGAGACAGGCUUAAAGAAAUUGAUGGCAAAAAUGGGAAGCUCUGUGGCUGACCUCAGUUGCAGGAUCCGUGCUGGGACAGCCUGUCCUCCGCUCCAUGAUUUGUGAGGGCCUGCCUGGUAUUGCUAAUCUUCCUGACAGUUUAGUUUGAAGAGAAAAGGGGCCAGUGGCACUGUAGGCAACAUCAGACAAGCCACAGAUCUCCUGGGAGAUCUAAGCUCUCCAGGAGGCAGAUAACAACAUUUUGCCUUUCCACGGGGUUGUUAAUAUACAUAUGAAUCCCAAAUACAAGAAUGGGCUCUUCAAACUGGUUUAUUUAAACACUUUUUCUGAGACACACGUUUCAAGAAGGGGAUAAAGAGGGUGUGAUGUGGAUCCUGUGCUGUCUUCAAAGAAGGGAAGGUGGACUGCUAUGUUUCUAGUGUAGAAUCUGGCACAGAAACCACCCAUAGCAGGUGCGCCACGGACCUGCUUUAGCUGGAAGGAUCCUUUCUACAUUCCUUCCACCACCUAGUGAGUGGCCACGUUGAUGAUGAGACCUGGGCCUUUAAAAAUCCUCUUUCAGGUCUCCAGCCAACCCUCUCCAUUCAACUCAGUUUCACAAACCUUUUCUUAGCAGCCACCCAUUCCCAAGGACUGUAGUGGGUGCCGCAGGGGAGACAGAGGUGAAGGAGACACAGUCCUUUCUGCUGAUUCUGCGGCUGAGUCAGCUGAUAGCCUACGUCUAUUUGCCAAGAAUAUGAUCAACUGAGUGAAAACAACAAAAUAAAAAACGCUGAGUUGGGGAGAUGACUCGACUCGGGAGGAUAAUGAGAAUGUCCAAGCUGUGAGUCCCCUGGAGGCCAAGGCAAGUUUGCAGCUGGCAUGGUAACAGCAGGGUGGUUGCUGAGGGAAACUGAAACCAUGUCACAUGGAAAAGAUUUGUAGGAGUGGAGGGCCUUUGGCCUGGAGAAGAAAAGCCUUGGAGAACAGAAAGGCUGGUUUCACAUACCUGAGAGACUGCCAUGGGGAAGACCCAUACUUUGUUCUCUGGGGCCCCAGAGGGGGCCCACCAUAGAACAGGACUAUGGUGGGGAUACGUAGGGGGACCGAUUGCAGCUCGAAAUUGCGAAGUCCUGUCCUUGUCAGAGCUGUCCCAGGUGGAGUGGGAUGUACCAGGAGGUGGUGAGUUCCUGUCAUUGCAGGGAUUUCAGUCGGGGUGGAGAGCCCACUAAACAAAGACGCUGUGGAGAAGAACCAAGCAUGGAGGAGGGUGGAGGGCCUGAUCUUCUAAGCUUCACUCUCUGCCUGGGAGUCUUCGAUUCCUCCCUCCUCUUACUAUAACUUAAUGAGCUGCUAACGCCAACACCUGGCUUCUUAUUCAAACAUGCUUAAAUGUGAACGGGGAAGACUGGCAUCAGAGGUGGGCAGAUUAACAACAAACUCCCUCAGGGGUCUCCAAAAUGAGAGAGAAGGGACAAAGGCAGAAUCGUUCUGCGUGCCUGCAAGUUGGAUUUGGAGUCUCCACACUGUGCCUCUGGCCGUUGAACAGAAGAGGGGUCUCUUUGCUGUGUCUUUAGCAAGGUGACAAGCAAGAGAGCUGGGUAGCACAGCCUGGGGCUCACAGGCAGCAGAUCACCUUCAGCUCCCCAGGCCCCUCUGUCAUGGACUCAGGCCACUGCUGGGACUCAGUCACCAGGACAGGGAGAGCCCAGAGGGCACUGCUCCACAGGGUGGGCACAGCAAACAGCCCUUCCCCACACUCCCACUCUUCCCGGCAGAGAGGGUGCCUGCGGUGUGACUCGAGGGAACUCGGCCUAUUCAUCUCACCCGCUUCUGCCUAUCUCUCCACACACACUUUUGUCAUUGUUAAAACCAUGAGCAGCUUUUUCCUGAUAUCACAGUCUAGGAAAUCGAUGCCUCGUUCAGUGAGCCAGCACUUGCUGUGCUCUUGCCACAGGUUGGGACUGUGUGGAUGGAUGCCCCAUUGCUUAGGGAGCACAGAGGAGGGACCUAGCUCGGGCUGGGGCUUUACAGAAGGCUUCCGAGAAGGGAUGUCAUUGGCCUGACUCUUAAGAGGAAGGAAAAGAAGAGCACCAAGUACAAAUGAUUAGCACUACUCAUCAGCAAAUCAGGAGACUGGGCGUGUAGGGAGAUGAGGCUGAGGAAGUCACUCUGAACACACACGAGGGGCCUGAUUGUCACCUGAAAUGCCUGAUGUUUUCCUGUUGGUUAUGGGAAACAGAGGGAUGACAUAGAUUGAUUUAUAGAGAUUUUUCUGCCUGCAUCAAAGGCAUCAUAAACAAGAGGGUAGGACUAGUGGCAAAGAAACGAGUCAGAAUUGUUUAGUCGAGACAUGAGAAGACCCUGAGCUAGCUCAGUGGUAGCAGGGUGGAAAGGAAGGGACCAAAAGGAGAAAUAUUUUGGAUUUAAAAAUUAACAAGACUGUCCAACAAAUAGAAGAUACAGAGACAAAUGAUUCAAUAAGGCAAGGGUCAAAAGACUUGAACAGGCACUUCACAAAAGAAGAUAAUGCCCAAUUAAGCACAUGAAAGAGUGUUCAACAUUAAAUAUCAGGGAAAUGCGAGUUAAAACUACAGUAAGACAGCAGUUCAUACCCCUUAGAAUGGCUAAAAUCAAAACAAAUGAUCAUACCAAGUGCUGGUGGGAAUGUGAGGAACCUGGAACUCUCAUGCACUGCUGGUGGGAGAGGCCAAUGGCAGAAACUCUUUGAAGGACUCUGAGAGUGUCUUAUAAGUGUACAUCUACCCUAUAAGCAAGCAAUUCCACUGCUAGGUAUUUGCCCAAGAAAACUAUGUUUAUACAGACUUGUAUAAGAAAAAUAUGUUCCCAAUAAAAUUGUAAAGAAUGUUUAUGGCAGUCUUAUUCAAAUAUUGAAGAACUGGCAGCAACCCAGAUGUCCACCAGGAAGUACAUGGAUAAACAACCUAUGGUAUGUCCAUAUAAUGGAAUAUCACUAAGCAAUAGAAAGGAACAAACUAUUUAUAUAUUCAGUGUAACAUGGAUGACUGGCAAAACCAUUAUGGGAAGUGAAGGAAACCAGACCCAGAAUAGUACACACUGUAUGAUUCCAUUUACAUGAAAUCCAAAUGUAGACAAACGAAUAUAUAAUGUUAGACACCAGUUUGUGGGUUUAUGUAAGUGUUUUGGGGUGUUAGGUGGGGGGUUGUUGACCAGUUAGAGGCAUGAGGGAACUUCCUCAAAGAAUAGAAAUGUC